CCGCCUCCACUUCCGGUCCCACUGACCUUCACUCCCGGAACCUACAACGACCGCAGAAAAAAGGUUCCGAGCUCUGGGAGACCUAGUUCCUAUCAGAGACAGCCUCCGUAGGCUGCUUGCUCCUGGUUAGCCCAGUAGUGGGGUGAUUUCACAAGACUGAGAAGGAGCAAAUGUACUCACAGAGCAUGGGGUUGCCUAAAAACCUACUAUCUCUGGAGAUCUAACCCAGGUCCUAGCCCAUUCUGAUGAACUCUGGAUAAUGGUACAAGAAAGCCAACUUUACCACUCAGGCACAGAUGUUCUGACCUCAAAAGAAGCUGCACAUGGGACCCUCCAGAAGCCAGCACUGCACUGAAAAUGCUCAUGGCUGCCUCCACAGGAUAAUGAAUCCUAGUCUAUACUUGCUACAGAGAGCUACUCCUAGGACUAUAAGAACUGAUAAGGUGCCAACCAUAUUGAAUGACAAAGCCCAAACUUCCAGGACACCACAAUUCCUACUCUUGAUAUUCAAAUUGAUCUCCUAGGGUUUUAUUCUGGCUCUCUCAAGGGAGACUUACGUAAAUUGCGCCUAGCUGGGUUCUGUCGUUAUCAAAUAACUGGUAGUAAUGCUGAAUAAAGCUGGAUCCAAUCUG